ensembl:lncRNA
GUGAAUACAGGGAAGGGAUUGAAUACUUUGAGAGUUUUCCUGGCAUUAUUUUCAGAAAGCCUGGCCAAGAGGACCGGCUUAGGGCAUCUGCAAAGCAGCUAUUUUGAGAACAAAAUUCCAAACAUAUCAUUUGUCAGUCAGCAACUCAAGAAUCAAACCAAAACAGAACAAUAAAGAAGUCAUCAUGACUUCUUCUCAGCUUAGUGACAGUGGUGAUGGAACACAGGGAAAGAUGGAAAACCCUUGGAGGUGGACUCGGGAGUGAAUCAUGGCUGAGUUCAGUGAGCGUGUUUCUCAGCUGUGGAAUACAGACACAGCUUCACCACCUUUCUGUUGUUGGUCUAGUGUAGAUCACUCCUCCUUCUGUCCCUGGUGCCUCACCCACUGCCUGCUUAAGGGUGAGUCCUUAAUUGUGUUCUAUAAACUCUGCAGUUGCUGGCUUGCCCAUGUCUCACUUAAGUGGAAUACUGCCUGGAUCCCAACUGUAGUUAAGUUUCAAGUUUGUUCAGGGCAAAAUGAACUUCCUUGUAACUUUUUUCAGUGUAACUCUCAAAAACAGUCACCAACUUUGGCAGAAGAUGAGGCCUCCUUAAUGACUGUACAAAGGUGGUUUUCAGGCCCUUCUCUCCUGUAACUGUGGUCUGGAAAAAUCUCAUCAAUGUGGCCAGCUCUCUAAAGCCCCAUUUUGGAGCCAAUUUAGUGAAAAUCAAGAACAUUUUGAACCAGUGACAGAAUUAUAAUUUUUAUACUUAUGAGCUGGCUUCUCCUGGUCAGUCUUGAUUUCCAGCAUUCGAUCUUAUUACUGAUGUAAGAGCAGUAGCCCUCAGUGCCUCCUUCUAUUUGGGGUAUAGAAUAUAUAGUCACC